GAUGAACGCUAGCGGCAGGCUUAAUACAUGCAAGUUGAGGGGCAGCAUGAUAUACGCGAGUAUACUGAUGGCGACCGGCGGACGGGUGAGUAAUAGGUAGGAGACCUACCUCAUACAGGGGGAUAGCAUAGAGAAAUCUGUGGUAAUACCCCAUGAGGUUAUAUGAAUAGAGGCAUAUAAUCAAAGCAUAAGCGAUUAUGCGGUAUGAGAGGGGCCUACUGACCAUUAGCUAGUUGGUGAGGUAAGGGCUCACCAAGGCGAAGAUGGUUAGGGGUUUUGAGAGAGAGACCCCCCACAUUGGAACUGAGAGACGGUCCAGACUCCUACGGGAGGCAGCAGUAGGGAAUAUUGGGCAAUGGGCGAAAGCCUGACCCAGCCAUGCCGCGUGAAGGAAGACGGCCUUAUGGGUUGUAAACUUCUUUACUACGCGAAUAGAGGUUAGUACGAGAUACUAAUAGGAAGGUAGUGUAGUAAAAGCACCGGCUAACUCCGUG
rnacentral:rRNA from 1 species